rnacentral:rRNA from 1 species
AAGCGGUGGAGUAUGUGGUUAAUUCGAUGCAACGCGAAGAACCUACCUGGUCUUGACAUCCCGGAGACCCUUAGGAAACUAGGGGUGCUUCCAUCUGGAAGAAUCUGGAGACAGGUGCUGCAUGGCUGUCGUCAGCUCGUGUCGUGAGAUGUUGGGUUAAGUCCCGCAACGAGCGCAACCCUUGCCUUUAGUUGCCAGCAGUUCGGCUGGGCACUCUAAAGGGACUGCCGGUGUUAAACCGGAGGAAGGUGGGGGAUGACGUCAAGUCCUCAUGGCCUUUAUGACCAGGGCUACACACGUACUACAAUGGCCGAUACAAAGGGCAGCGACACUGCGAGGUGAAGCCAAUCCCGUAAAAUCGGUCUCAGUCCGGAUUGGAGUCUGCAACUCGACUCCAUGAAGUUGGAAUCGCUAGUAAUCGUGGAUCAGCAUGCCACGGUGAAUACGUUCCCGGGCCUU